UGUGGUUAGCGGUGAAAUGCCAAUCGAACUCGGAGAUAGCUGGUUCUCCUCGAAACAGUUUUAGGACUGGCGUCAUGUGGUAGCAGUCGGGGGUAGAGCUCUGUAAAGGACUGGGGGGAGCAAUCCUACCCACCCUUAACAAACUACGAAUACCGGCUGUGGAAUCAUGGCAGUUAGAACGGCGGAGCUAAGUUCGUCGCUCAAAAGGGAAACAGCCCAGACCAUCGUCUAAGGUCCCUAAAUUUACGUUAAGUGGGAAACAAGGUGAGAUUUCUUAAACAGCUAGGAUGUUGGCUUAGAAGCAGCCAUUCAUUUAAAGAGUGCGUAACAGCUCACUAGUCAAGAGAUCUUGCGUGGAAAAUGUAACGGGGCUAAACGUAAUACCGAAGACAUGGAUACUUUGCAAAGAAUAAAAUUUACGAUAGGUGACUAUUUGACAUUUUAGACAUCAUAGUGUAUUAUUGUUACAUAAGUUAACGUAAUACACAAAAGAAAGUUGUAAGAAUGAACAAAAAAGAAUUACUAUCAGGAGAAAGUAUUUACACUGCGACAGCUUCCGGAGAGGCGCAUCAGCCUACUUUAGAGAAACAACUUGCAAGUUUGUCUCCAGAAGAUAGUAUUCGAGUUGCAAACGCUCUCGUUGAGAGUGGCGCGGCUCAGGCUAUAGUCAGAAACAUUGCUAAUUUAGAAUUAACGUCUGAGCAGCAGCAACAUAUCCUAGAAGCUCUCUCAGAGGAAUAUGAAGAAACGGAACAAUCGUAAAUUUUAUUCUUUGCAAAGUGUGGUAGAGGAGCGUUCCUAUCGGCAGUGAAGCAGCAUUGUAAAGUGCUGUGGAGCGGUAGGAAGUGAGAAUGCUGGAAUGAGUAACCAUAAGAGAGGUGAGAAUCCUCUCGGCCGUAAGAGCAAGGUUUCCUGAGCUAUGGUAAUCAUCUCAGGGUUAGUCGGGCCUAAGCCGAGGCGCAGAGCGUAGGCGAUGGACAUCAGGUUAAUAUUCCUGAACCGGUUAAGUUUUGUACACUGUUCACGGGGAAGUAAUCGAAGCGGAUUCAUGGUUUAUCCGUCCAACCGAGCGGGAACGCAAAGGGAGUGAAAGUGAUUCUUCGGAGUCGCGAUUUUGGUGAAAGCCCUGGCUAGAAAAGCAGGUGUACGCAUGGACUUAGCCGCCCGUACCGCAAACCAACACAGGUGCUCGAGUCGAGUAGACUCAGGCUUACGAGUGAACCUUCGCUAAGGAACUCGGCAAUACAGCGACCGUAACUUCGGAAUAAGGUCUGCCCCCACUUCGGUGGAUAUGUUGUCGGUUUCAAAGCUAGCAGGUGUGGUUGAAGAGUAUCUUUAAUACAUCAAUUCUUCUUGAGAUAGAACCAAUAGCUUUUGGAACUGAAGCUCAACGCAUCUAGCGAUGUGGGGGCCGCAGCAAAAGAGCCCACGGAACUGUUUAUCAAAAACACAGCUCUCUGCUAACACGAAAGUGGAUGUAUAGGGGGUGACUCCUGCCCGGUGCUGGAAGGUUAAGGGGAGUGCUUCACGGUACGAACUGAAGCCCCAGUGAACGGCGGCGGUAACUAUAACCGUCCUAAGGUAGCGAAAUUCCUUGUCAGGUAAGUUCUGACCCGCACGAAUGGAGUAAUCAUGUGGGCACUGUCUCAGCGAAGGACUCGGUGAAAGUGCAUUGGCGGUAAAGAUGCCGUCUGUCCAUACCAGGACGAGAAGACCCCAUGGAGCUUUACUACAGCUUUACAUUGAUCCAGGUUUCAGCAUGUGUAGCAUAGUUGGGAGACUUUGAAACAGAUACGCUAGUAUUUGCGGAGUCGCAAUGUGAAAUACCAACCUUGCUGUGAUCUUGAUCUCACUUGUGCCGUUAUCCGGUACAAGGACCGUGUAUGGUGGGUAGUUUAACUGGGGCGGUUGCCUCCUAAAGAGUAGCGGAGGCGUUCAAAGGUUGGCUAACUUCGGAUGGAAAUCGAAGUGAUAGUGUAUGCGCAUAAGCCAGCUUGACUGUGAGGAGUACAUUCCAAUCAGAGACGAAAGUCGGAGCAAGUGACCCGCUGUACGAACAUUUGUUCAUUGAAUGUGGGAUCGACAGCGCACACGGAUAAAAGUUACCCUGGGGAUAACAGGCUUAUAGCGCCCAAUAGUUCACAUAGACGGCGCUGUUUGGCACCUCGAUGUCGGCUCAUCACAUCCUGGAGGGGGAGCACCUUCCAAGGGUUCGGCUGUUCGCCGAUUAAAGUGGUACGCGAGCUGGGUUCAGAACGUCGUGAGACAGUUCGGUUUAUAUCCGGUAUGGACGUCAGGAAAUUUGCGAGGAUUUGCCCCUAGUACGAGAGGACCGGGGUGAACGCACCGCUGGUGUACGGAUUGUGGCCACCUGCUGCAUUGUCCGGUAGCUAUGUGCGGACCAGAUAAGCGCUGAAAGCAUAUUAAGCGCGAAACUGACCUCAAGAUUAGAUUUCCCUAUGAGGACACAGAUAGACUAUCUGUUUGAUAGGUGCAAGGUGGAAGUGCAGUAAUGUAUGGAGCCGAAGCAUACUAAUAGUCCCAUUGCCUUUUUAU
rnacentral:rRNA from 1 species